UUGUUUGACCGGUAGCAGAAAAUGCCGACCGCCACCAGCACGGCGCCGACAAGCGCCGCUCCCACCACUCCUAUUAUCAGUUUCGUACUGUCUUUGCUGCGCUUGGAUGAUGGGCCGGAAACGGAUGGAGAUGAUGGAGCCGUCAACGGGCUGUGCGGAGAUGGUGAAGGCGUCGGGGGGUCCUGCGGAGAUGGUGACGGCGUCGGCGGGCUCUGCGGAGAUGGUGAAGGCGUCAGCGGGCUCUGCGGAGGAGGCAACGGCUCCUUAUUUUCCUUAUUAAGUUUGGACGGAGGGGGGGAAUUAGCUUUCGUCCCUGACGGACCGGUCUGGCUUCUGGAAACAGCAGCUAGG
rnacentral:lncRNA from 1 species